AUUUGUAAAAGUUCGAUUUGUAUUGUUUAUUUCAAAUUUAGCAAAAGUGCUUUUAAUCUGUUGUAUUUUGUAUCGUGUAUUCAUGAUGUUGGUUUAAAUCUUAUGAAAAAUAAACUAUUCUUGAUUGCUUCGUACAUAGAUCAGGUUUUGUCCUUUGAAUUGUCUUAUAUUGGCAUGCCGGGGCCGUUUACAGCUUUAUUGGGCUUUACCAGACAUGAUAGGUGAUAUGCGUUUCUUGUAUUGUUCUGACUUGGAUAUAGUCCUGAUAAAAGUAUCGUACAGACGGUAUAAGCGAGCGUUCUUUCUUGAAUAUAAAAAUUCUUAUUUCUGAUAUCAUGAACUGUUUGAGAAAGUUUUAGUUUUAAAGUUUGUAUGUUUUACGACAUGUAAGUUUACAU
rnacentral:lncRNA from 1 species